UACGAGGGGCCCAAACGUUAUUCGGAAUUACUGGGCUUAAAGAGUUCGUAGGCGGCAUUGCAAGUAGGGUGUGAAAGCCCUCGGCUCAACCGAGGAAUUGCGCUCUAAACUGCAGUGCUCGAGGAAGCUAGAGGUGAGCAGAACAGAUGGUGGAGCGGUGAAAUGCGUUGAUAUCAUCUGGAAUACCGGAGGCGAAGGCGGCUCACUGGGGCUUUUCUGACGCUGAGGAACGAAAGCCAGGGUAGCGAACGGG
rnacentral:rRNA from 1 species